GGAUGAACGCUAGCUACAGGCUAACACAUGCAAGUCGAGGGGCGAGCAUUGGGAUAGCUUGCUAUUCCAGAGUGGCGACCGGCGCACGGGUGAGUAACGCGUAUCCAACCUUCCCCAUAGUAGGGCACAGCCCGGCGAAAGUCGGAUUAAUCCCUAUGCUGUCCAGAGAGGACAUCUGACCUGGACGAAAGAUUCAUCGCUAUGGGAUGGGGAUGCGUCUGAUUAGGUUGCAGGCGGGUAACGGCCCACCUGGCCGACGAUCAGUAGGGUUCUGAGAGGAAGGUCCCCCACAUUGGAACUGAGACACGGUCCAAACUCCUACGGGAGGCAACAGUGAGGAAUAUUGGUCAAUGGACGGAAGUCUGAACCAGCCAAGUAGCGUGCAAGGAUGACGGCCCUAUGGGUUGUAAACUGCUUUUAUCAGGGGAUAAAGUGAGGUAUGUAUACCUUUUUGCAUGUACCUGAUGAAUAAGGACCGGCUAAUUCCGUGCCAGCAGCGGC
rnacentral:rRNA from 1 species